GACGAACGCUGGCGGCGUGCUUAACACAUGCAAGUCGAACGGAAAGGCCCCCACUUUUUUGGUGGGGGUGCUCGAGUGGCGAACGGGUGAGUAACACGUGGGUGAUCUGCCCUGUACUUCGGGAUAAGCUUGGGAAACUGGGUCUAAUACCGGAUAGGACCAUGGUUUAGUGUCUCAUGGUGGAAAAAUUAUUGUUUUGGUGCAGGAUGAGCUCGCGGCCUAUCAGCUUGUUGGUGGGGUAAUGGCCUACCAAGGCGUCGGCGGGUAGCCGGCGUGAGAGGGUGGACGGCCACAUUGGGACUGAGAUACGGCACAGACUCCUACGGGAGGCAGCAGUGGGGAAUAUUGCACAAUGGGCGCAAGCCUGAUGCAGCGAAGCCGCGUGGGGGAUGACGGCCUUCGGGUUGUAAACUCCUUUCGUUAGGGACGAAGCCGCACCUUUUUUGGGUGUGGUGACGGUAACUUUGUUAAGAAGCACCGGCUAACUACGUG
rnacentral:rRNA from 1 species